rnacentral:rRNA from 1 species
GCACAAGCGGAGGAACAUGUGGUUUAAUUCGAUGAUACGCGAGGAACCUUACCUGGGCUAGAACGCAUUCGGAAUCAGGCCGAAAGGCCUGCGCCAGCGAUGGCCGCUUGCGAGGUGCUGCAUGGUUGUCGUCAGCUCGUGCCGUGAGGUGUCGGGUUAAGUCCCAUAACGAGCGCAACCCCUACUGCUAGUUGCCAGCGGGUCAUGCCGGGGACUCUAGCGGAACUGCCAGCGUAAGCUGCGAGGAAGGUGGGGAUGACGUCAAAUCAGCACGGCCCUUACGUCCAGGGCUACACACGUGUUACAAUGGCCGGUACAGAGGGCAGCCACCCCGCGAGGGGGCGCGAAUCCCGAAAGCCGGUCCCAGUUCGGAUCGGAGUCUGCAACCCGACUCCGUGAAGCUGGAUUCGCUAGUAAUCGCGCAUCAGCCACGGCGCGGUGAAUACGUUCCCGGGCCUU